UUUUAGGCAAGAGAGUUUCUUCGCUUAUCUGUUUGGUGUGAGAGAGCCUGGUUUCUACGGUGCUAUUGACAUUGCAACUGGGAAAUCCAUUCUAUUUGCGCCUAGAUUACCUGCUGAUUAUGUUUGGAUGGGAGAAAUAAAGCCAGCUUCCUACUUUCAGGAAAGGUAUAUGUUAGCAUGGUAAACUACACUGAUGAGAUUGCUCAGGUCUUGGUUGACCAAUACAAGGGAUCUGGAAAACCUUUAUGUUUCUUACAUGGGGUUAACACCGAUAGCAAUAAUUUCUCAAAACCUGCAGAGUUUGAGGGAAUAGAAAAUUUUGAGACAGAUUUGACAACUCUGCAU